rnacentral:rRNA from 1 species
CAGCAGGCGCGAAAACUUUACAAUGCACGAAAGUGUGAUAAGGGAAUCCAAAGUGCUCAUGCACAGCAUGGGCUUUUGCCAAGGGUAAAUACCUUGGAGAAUAAGUGGUGGGUAAGACUGGUGCCAGCAGCCGCGGUAACCCCAGCGCCACGAGUGGGAGCCACAAUUAUUUGGCCUAAAGCGUCCGUAGCUGGCUUAGUAAAUCUUUUGUGAAAUCGGAAAGCUUAACUUUUCGGCGUGCAGAAGACACUGCUAUGCUUGAGACCGGGAGGGGUAAGGAGUAUUUCUAGGGAACCGGUAAAAUGGGAUAAUCCUAGAAAGACUACCUGUGGCGAAGGCGCCUUACCAGCACGGGUCUGACAGUGAGGGACGAAGGCUAGGGGAGCGAACCGGAUUAGAUACCCGAGUAGUCCUAGCAGUAAACGCUGCGGGCUAGGUGUUACACCAUCCAUGAGAUUGUGUAGUGUCGUAGCGAAGGCAUUAAGCCCGCCGCCUGGGAAGUAUGGUCGCAAGAGUGAAACUUAAAGGAAUUGGCGGGGG